rnacentral:rRNA from 1 species
ACUGAGGGUGCAAGCGUUAAUCGGAAUUACUGGGCGUAAAGCGAGUGUAGGCGGCUAUAUAAGUCGGAUGUGAAAGCCCUGGGCUUAACCUGGGAAUUGCAUUCGAAACUGUAUGGCUAGAGUUUGAUAGAGGUAAGUGGAAUUCCGGGUGUAGCGGUGAAAUGCGUAGAUAUCCGGAGGAACAUCAGUGGCGAAGGCGGCUUACUGGAUCAAAACUGACGCUGAGGCUCGAAAGCGUGGGGAGCAAACAGG